rnacentral:rRNA from 1 species
CCUACGGGGGGCAGCAGUGAGGAAUAUUGGUCAAUGGGCGAGAGCCUGAACCAGCCAAGUCGCGUGAAGGAUGAAGGAUCUAUGGUUUGUAAACUUCUUUUAUAUGGGAAUAAAGUGAGGAACGUGUUCCUUUUUGUAUGUACCAUAUGAAUAAGCAUCGGCUAACUCCGUGCCAGCAGCCGCGGUAAUACGGAGGAUGCGAGCGUUAUCCGGAUUUAUUGGGUUUAAAGGGUGCGUAGGUGGUUAAUUAAGUCAGCGGUGAAAGUUUGUGGCUCAACCAUAGAAUUGCCGUUGAAACUGGUUGACUUGAGUGUAUUUGAGGUAGGCGGAAUGCGUGGUGUAGCGGUGAAAUGCAUAGAUAUCGAGAAGAACACUCAUGGCGAAGGCAGGUUCCUGGACAUUAACUGACGCUGAGGCACGAAGGCCAGGGGAUCGAAAAGGAUUAGAUACCCUGGUAGUC